AUAAUUUGUCAAUGUGAUUACCAAAGGACAAUAAUAGUGCAAGAAACAUAUCUUGAAUAUAAUUUUUAACAUGACCAUAAUGGUAUAACUUUCUCUUUAAAAAGAGAUAUUCACCUCAUGGAUGUUGAUGAAUUUGUGGUAGUAUAAAAUUAAUUGAGAGCUCUAGAAAAGCCAAUUACUACAAUGUUGGAGAAACACAAUUGAUUACCAAUAAGGUAUUGUGUUGUAGUAAGUCUCAAAGA
rnacentral:lncRNA from 1 species